UCUAUAAAUGUUCAUCUAAAUUUGUCUGUUCAACAAAAUGCUUACAGACCCGUAAUGCCUGCAGAUGUUGCUGCUUCUGUGGCUGCAAUGCGCUCUAGCUAUGGGCAACACCCAUACUUGGUUGGUGGAGUAGGCAAUUCAGUUAGCUCAGGAUCUCAUGCAACUUUAAUGUAUCACUCCCAAACAUCGUUCCCUAUUAGUGCUAGUGGUAACAUUCAACAUGUUGCUGCCCCUGUGCAACAACA